rnacentral:lncRNA from 1 species
GCUGUUUCAUAGAAGCAAGAGGAACUUCUUGAGUUCGGUGCAGUGAAGGAUCAUGUAGACAGAUGAGUGGAUUGUUAUAAAGUACUUGUUAUAAGCAAUGCAGAACAUAAGAACUCAGGAAUAAACCUGGUUACAUUACAGAUAACAGUAGGUGACUCCAUUACUACCAACCAAUCAAGGUUUUCUCUCUCAUAUAUCUCACAAAACAAAGAUGUCUUAAAUCUUAUUUAAGGAAGAUUGUGUAUAAGUCCCAGACCUCCAGUCAUAAUGAGUUACUGCAGAAUUCUGCUGAAGCAGCAUGUCCAACUUUGCUGAGAUCAUCAGUGACAGAUGUGUUCACAACCCAUGUGUUCCCAGUGGACUUCAGCAAUGGCAGAUACAUUCCCACUCCAGACAGGGCCAGUUCUAAAUGCUAUUGUUGGAAGUUGAUCUGCCGAAUCAUCAAUUCCUUUAAGCACAUGAAAGAGAAAGAAAGGCAAAG